AAAUUGAAGAGUUUGAUCAUGGCUCAGAUUGAACGCUGGCGGCAGGCCUAACACAUGCAAGUCGAACGGUAACAGGAAACAGCUUGCUGUUUCGCUGACGAGUGGCGGACGGGUGAGUAAUGUCUGGGAAACUGCCUGAUGGAGGGGGAUAACUACUGGAAACGGUAGCUAAUACCGCAUAAUGUCGCAAGACCAAAGAGGGGGACCUUAGGGCCUCUUGCCAUCGGAUGUGCCCAGAUGGGAUUAGCUAGUAGGUGGGGUAACGGCUCACCUAGGCGACGAUCCCUAGCUGGUCUGAGAGGAUGACCAGCCACACUGGAACUGAGACACGGUCCAGACUCCUACGGGAGGCAGCAGUGGGGAAUAUUGCACAAUGGGCGCAAGCCUGAUGCAGCCAUGCCGCGUGUAUGAAGAAGGCCUUCGGGUUGUAAAGUACUUUCAGCGGGGAGGAAGGGAGUAAAGUUAAUACCUUUGCUCAUUGACGUUACCCGCAGAAGAAGCACCGGCUAACUCCGUGCCAGCAGCCGCGGUAAUACGGAGGGUGCAAGCGUUAAUCGGAAUUACUGGGCGUAAAGCGCACGCAGGCGGUUUGUUAAGUCAGAUGUGAAAUCCCCGGGCUCAACCUGGGAACUGCAUCUGAUACUGGCAAGCUUGAGUCUCGUAGAGGGGGGUAGAAUUCCAGGUGUAGCGGUGAAAUGCGUAGAGAUCUGGAGGAAUACCGGUGGCGAAGGCGGCCCCCUGGACGAAGACUGACGCUCAGGUGCGAAAGCGUGGGGAGCAAACAGGAUUAGAUACCCUGGUAGUCCACGCCGUAAACGAUGUCGACUUGGAGGUUGUGCCCGUGAGGCGUGGCUUCCGGAGCUAACGCGUUAAGUCGACCGCCUGGGGAGUACGGCCGCAAGGUUAAAACUCAAAUGAAUUGACGGGGGCCCGCACAAGCGGUGGAGCAUGUGGUUUAAUUCGAUGCAACGCGAAGAACCUUACCUGGUCUUGACAUCCACGGAAGUUUUCAGAGAUGAGAAUGUGCCUUCGGGAACCGUGAGACAGGUGCUGCAUGGCUGUCGUCAGCUCGUGUUGUGAAAUGUUGGGUUAAGUC
rnacentral:rRNA from 1 species